rnacentral:rRNA from 1 species
UACGUAGGGGGCAAGCGUUGUCCGGAAUCAUUGGGCGUAAAGCGCGUGUAGGCGGCCCGAUAAGUCCGCUGUGAAAAGUCCAGGGCUCAACCCUGGAAUGCCGGUGGAUACUGUCGGGCUCGAGUCCGGAAGAGGUGAGUGGAAUUCCGUGGAUGUAGCGGUAGAAUGACGCAGAUAUCAGGAGGAACACCAGUGGCGAAGGCAGGACUCACUGG